rnacentral:lncRNA from 1 species
AGAUGUUUCAGUGAAUUUACAAUGCUGAGUGCACUUGAAACCUAAAAUCAGAGAGAAUGGCACUGCUGCUCUAAUAAGACCUGGGGAAAUCAGGAUACUGAUGUUUAUUUUUGGAAUAGGCUUUCUUCUGAGAGAAGAGUUGCUUGAAAUCAUGCAGAUGUAUUUUAAGAAUGUACUCAAGAGAGGCACCCAAGAAGACAUUUUGUAUGGAGAUGGACAAUACUGAAGCUACAACAGCAAUUGGUGACGGAAGUAGAGUGCUCUUUAAUAGAUGUAAGUCACACUAAUUAUUAAAUCUGAAUCAGACAGGAGAUGAAUGAUAUCAUUAUCCACAGCUCUAGUGAACAACUUCCAAAUAUGAAGGGUUACAUAGG